rnacentral:rRNA from 1 species
UACGGAGGGUGCAAGCGUUAUCCGGAUUUACUGGGUUUAAAGGGUGCGUAGGUGGGUUGGUAAGUCAGUGGUGAAAUACUUUCGCUUAACGAAGGAACUGCCAUUGAUACUACCAGGCUUGAGUACAGACGAGGGUGGCGGAAUGGAUGGUGUAGCGGUGAAAUGCAUAGAUACCAUCCAGAACCCCGAUUGCGAAGGCAGCUGCCUAGACUGUAACUGACGCUGAGGCACGAAAGCGUGGGGAGCGAACAGG